rnacentral:rRNA from 1 species
GACGAACGCUGGCGGCGUGCCUAAUACAUGCAAGUCGGACGCUUCUUUCCUCCCGAGUGCUUGCACUCAAUUGGAAAGAGGAGUGGCGGACGGGUGAGUAACACGUGGGUAACCUACCCAUCAGAGGGGGAUAACACUUGGAAACAGGUGCUAAUACCGCAUAACAGUUUAUGCCGCAUGGCGUAAGAGUGAAAGGCGCUUUCGGGUGUCGCUGAUGGAUGGACCCGCGGUGCAUUAGCUAGUUGGUGAGGUAACGGCUCACCAAGGCCACGAUGCAUAGCCGACCUGAGAGGGUGAUCGGCCACACUGGGACUGAGACACGGCCCAGACUCCUACGGGAGGCAGCAGUAGGGAAUCUUCGGCAAUGGACGGAAGUCUGACCGAGCAACGCCGCGUGAGUGAAGAAGGUUUUCGGAUCGUAAAACUCUGUUGUUAGAGAAGAACAAGGACGUUAGUAACUGAACGUCCCCUGACGGUAUCUAACCAGAAAGCCACGGCUAACUACGUGCCAGCCGCCGCGGUAA